rnacentral:rRNA from 1 species
GUCCACGCCGUAAACGAUGGAUACUAGCUGUUCGGAGCAAUCUGAGUGGCUAAGCGAAAGUGAUAAGUAUCCCACCUGGGGAGUACGUUCGCAAGAAUGAAACUCAAAGGAAUUGACGGGGGCCCGCACAAGCGGAGGAGCAUGUGGUUUAAUUCGAUGAUACGCGAGGAACCUUACCAAGGCUUAAAUGGGAGACGACAGAUUUGGAAACAGAUCUUUCUUCGGACGUCUUUCAAGGUGCUGCAUGGUUGUCGU